rnacentral:snRNA from 1 species
GUGCUCACUUCGGCAGCACAUAUACUAAAAUUGGAACGAUACAGAGAAGAUUAGCAUGAUCUUCCAAAAAAGAAUAAACAAAUAAAUCU